UUUGGUGGCAAUAAAUUAAAUGCCAUGAACUUGUAGUGGAAGCACUUUUAUGUUUGCAAUUAGGCUGCUGCAAUUGGAAAGAAGAGCUCCUUCUGCCAAGAAUGGUGAGUGACGCUGCCUUAAUUGCUAUGCCUCAACAUAACUGGCUGGCACAGAAUAAAACACACACUGUCAUCCUGCCCACAGGCCAACUACAUGCUGUGCUGUUUGGUAAGUCUCUUGCAUGGGAACUAUGAUGUACCUGUCAGCUGGCCCCAACAACCAAAUCAGUGUCAUGUGUCACAGGGUAUGGGGAACUCCUAGAGUAUUUAUUUCAUUCAUCUAUUGGGAAACUCUGCUGUGCUGAAGAAGGCUGUUGUGUUCUAGAAUCAGGGCAAAAGGGUGGCACUGUAGGUCAGCAUUGCUGGGCAGCUACCAAAGCCCAUGCUCCUUCAGAGGGCUUGCUAUCAACCCCUGGCCUUGCUUCUGUUUCUCCUCCUCGCUAUACUGCCUGAUCACCUGCCUUAUCUGAGCACGCAAGCUGCGACCAGAAGGAAAAGAUACAGAAGCAUCCUUCACUCGUACUGUGAACUGGCAGCAGAAGGAAGAAGUGAGGAGGUCACUGAAGGCAUCUCUCUCAAGGGCCCUCCAAAAGUUACUGUUGGCACUGGAUGGCAAGUCCAGCCAAACAAAUAUCAAACAGGUAACAGACAGACCCAGUGCCUGCAGAAAGAAGGAGAACAUCGCCACCCAGGGAAGGAGAGCCUGCUGUUGCUGCUGCUGUUGGAACACCACCUCCACCACCCUUCCCAGUGGGACUGCUGCCUGGCAGACGUGCCUCCUGCAGGACCAGGUCCCAGGUACCCAGCCAGCUGGGACUAAUUUCCAUCACCUGUCCCUCUUUGGAGGGAUACAUAAGCCGGCUGGCUGAGGUGGCCUGGGAGACCCAGUACCUGCAGGAAGAAGGAGAACAUCGCCACUCAGGGAAGGAGAGCCUGCUGUUGCUGCUGCUGUUGGAACACCACCUCCACCACCCUUCCCAGUGGGACUGCUGCCUGGCAGACGUGCCUCCUGCAGGACCAGGUCCCAGGUACCCAGCCAGCUGGGACUAAUUUCCAUCACCUGUCCCUCUUUGGAGGGAUACAUAAGCCGGCUGGCUGAGGUGGCCUGGGAGACCCAGUGCCUGCAGAAAGAAGGAGAACAUUGCCACCCAGGGAAGGAGAGCCUGCUGUUGCUGCUGCUGUUGGAACACCACCUCCACCACCCUUCCCAGUGGGACUGCUGCCUGGCAGACGUGCCUCCUGCAGGACCAGGUCCCAGGUACCCAGCCAGCUGGGACUAAUUUCCAUCACCUGUCCCUCUUUGGAGGGAUACAUAAGCCGGCUGGCUGAGGUGGCCUGGGAGACCCAGUGCCUGCAGAAAGAAGGAGAACAUUGCCACCCAGGGAAGGAGAGCCUGCUGUUGCUGCUGCUGUUGUUGGAACACCACCUCCACCAUCCUUCCCAGUGGGACUGCUGCCUGGCAGACGUGCCUCCUGCAGGACCAGGUCCCAGGUACCCAGCCAGCUGGGACUAAUUUCCAUCACCUGUCCCUCUUUGGAGGGAUACAUAAGCCGGCUGGCUGAGGUGGCCUGGGGUUUUGUCUUUUGUUUUUGUUUGUUUUUUCUUUUGGGUGCCAUUGGUUUUAGCUAUGGGUGGGUUCGGUUUUGUUUUAUAUUGUAGUUCUUGGGUUUUUAUGUAGUUUGUA